UACGGAGGAUGCGAGCGUUAUCCGGGUUUAUUGGGUUUAAAGGGUGCGUAGGCGGGAUGCCAAGUCAGCGGUAAAAAUGCGGUGCUCAACGCUGUCGAGCCGUUGAAACUGGCGUUCUUGAGUGGGCGAGAAGUAUGCGGAAUGCGUGGUGUAGCGGUGAAAUGCAUAGAUAUCACGCAGAACUCCGAUUGCGAAGGCAGCAUACCGGCGCCCUACUGACGCUGAGGCACGAAAGCGUGGGUAUCGAACAGG
rnacentral:rRNA from 1 species